UUUUUUUUUUGGUACAGAGUAUUGAAAUCAAAUAGGUACUUAAAGCACAUCUCAACAUGGACCAUCCAUGCUUCAAGGGUUUAGUAACCAUCUGUAGCUAGUGGCUAUUGCCCUGGACAGUGCUUAAGGGAAGGCCAAGAAGAGAAUGGGGAAGAAUGAAGAUAAGGGUAUUGGCAGCUUCAUCCGGUUCACGUCAGUGCUCUCCCAGAGAAAGAGGCGACAUGCCUGCCUAGAAGGAAAGUGAGGGAUGGAUGUGAAGGGAAGAUAGGAUUUGGAGCAGGUGCCAGGCAAAUCCUUACAAACCAGUAAACUGGGACUCUUCAUGAAUUCUUGCACUCUCAGUGAGAUUUGUAGUGACAGUUUUCGGUUCAAAAGUGCAUUCUUGUAACUAGACUACAUGGGAUCAUCCAGUGGAAUGAAGUCCAGUAUCACAUACACAGCUGUACUCUGAGAAGUAAUUUUAGACGUCAAGAUAAUGUAUGUCGAAGCUGUGCAAAACCACAACCCACCAGUGGAUCACGAUGCCUUUUGGCAAAUGCUGUUUAUUGUGUUAGUCUCUGGCUGUACAAUGAUCUGGAAAGCUGAACGACUGGAAUUUGUCACUUAAGCCAUUCAUCCUCAGCUGCCAAGAGGUGGGCACAUUCUGACCUCUGGAAUUAAAGUUGGGCAGAGUUCCAUACACUAUCCUACUAAGAAUGUGGUCACUAUAGCUCCAAUAAAGACAUCCUGUUUCAGCAA